GUGGGGAAUUUUGGACAAUGGGCGCAAGCCUGAUCCAGCAAUGCCGCGUGUGUGAAGAAGGCCUUCGGGUUGUAAACUGCUUUUGUACGGAACGAAAAGCCUCUGGUUAAUACCCGGGGGUCAUGACGGUACCGUAAGAAUAAGCACCGGCUAACUACGUGCCAGCAGCCGCGGUAAUACGUAGGGUGCGAGCGUUAAUCGGAAUUACUGGGCGUAAAGCGUGCGCAGGCGGUGAUGUAAGACAGUUGUGAAAUCCCCGGGCUCAACCUGGGAACUGCAUCUGUGACUGCAUUGCUGGAGUGCGGCAGAGGGGGAUGGAAUUCCGCGUGUAGCAGUGAAAUGCGUAGAUAUGCGGAGGAACACCGAUGGCGAAGGCAAUCCCCUGGGCCUGCACUGACGCUCAUGCACGAAAGCGUGGGGAGCAAACAGGAUUAGAUACCCGUGUAGUCC
rnacentral:rRNA from 1 species